CCUACGGGUGGCUGCAGUCGAGGAUCUUCGGCAAUGGGGGCAACCCUGACCGAGCGAUGCCGCGUGCGCGAUGAAGGCCUUCGGGUUGUAAAGCGCUUUAGUGGGGGAGAUCUAUCCCAAAAAUAAGCUCGGGCUAAGUUCGUGCCAGCAGCCGCGGUAAGACGAACCGAGCGAACGUUGUUCGGAAUCACUGGGCUUAAAGGGCGCGUAGGCGGGCUAUCAAGUCUGGGGUGAAAUGCCACGGCUCAACCGUGGAACUGCCUCAGAUACUGACGGCCUCGAGGGAGGUAGGGGCAUGUGGAACUGUAGGUGGAGCGGUGAAAUGCGUUGAUAUCUACAGGAACUCCGGUGGCGAAAGCGACGUGCUGGACCUUCUGACGCUGAGGCGCGAAAGCUAGGGGAGCAAACGGGAUUAGAUACCCUAGUAGUC
rnacentral:rRNA from 1 species